GGAGAGGGUGGGUGCCCAUCGGGCCCACACAGCCGUCACAUCGGGUGUGAGCAGCCUGGCCCUCACUGCUCACCCCGGGCAGCUCCCAUUCCAGGCUCCUUCCAACCUCCCCCAUGGGCUCAGGCAAGCUCAGACGCCCCUGCUGCUCAGGGGGCAGCUAGUAAGUAAGCACAGGUAAUAGUUAAGUAUGGGGGGCUCUGGGUUCAGACCCCUGCUGUGAUACAUCUUGUCUGGAUGAGCUUGGGCCACUGACUUUGCCUCUUUGAGUCUUAACUUCCUCAUCAGUAAAAUGGGAAUCGGUUUUUGUCCAGGUUCCCUAGAGGCACAGCCUGAGACAAGGAUUCAGGGGCGCAUGAUUUAUCAGGGGGCUGGGGGCAGGGGGUAGAUCUCUGAAGCAUUAACGGCUCCAUAGUUGGUCCCACUCAGAAAUGAGGGGGCUGGUCUUUAGUAGGCGUUUCCUGGCACUGGCUUCAGGCUCAUCCCCAGGGGAGAGGGAGGACCUGCCCUGGCAGCACUCAGAAGGGGCUGCUGGGAGCUGUUAGCAGCCACCGCUCACAGCAGCCAGGGGAUGGUUACACCCCUCGGGAGGGGGAUGUGGGUGGGGCACCACAGUACCCUCUACACCACAGACACUUGUCACAUCUACUCUCAGGGAGGCUGCUCUAAGGAUCAACGAGGUGUCAAGUUGUUAGAACAAGACCUGGCAGAGGAAGGACUCAUCCCCCCACCUGACAGAUACGAGGUGGAAAUGGAGGCUUAGAGAACAGAAGUAACUGGACUGAGGUGGCAUAAAUGGCAAGUGGCAGAGCCGGGCUCUUAACCUGCCUCGAGGUCCAAAUCUAACAGCAGGAUGCACCGUCACCAUUGUCCACAUGGAGAAACUGAGGCGGAGUGGCCAGCACCUGUCCCAGCACCUGUUACCUUGGACUUCAUUAUUCUUUGUUUAUUGUCUCCCCUACAAGAACAUCAGCCCCACAAAGGUAAGGGAAUGUUUAUGUCGGUAUCUUGGUUUCUGGCACUUACCAGGGGUUCAGUAAAUACUUAUUGAAUUAAUCAGCGUAGACACUAAGUACAGUACUUGGCUCACUGUAAGCCCUCAAUACCUACUACUAUUACUGUUGUUGGGAGUCAGUUAUUUCGUCUAUCAAGCAAUAUUCGGUGAGGACAUGUGCUGUGCACCAUGCUCUAGCGCCAGAGAUGCAUCAGACAUUGAGCUCACCAUCUCCAGGGCAAAGAGGCACGAGGAGGGAGAAGCUGUCAAAUGUGGCAGGAACAAAUGCAGUUUUCAGUGAUGACAAGUGCAGUCCAUUGGGUCAUGUGACUGCAGGCAAACCCUUUCCCUCCCCCUCCUUAGACUCAUUUCUCUGUGUGAACUCGUCCAAGGCCCAGCUAUGCUAUUUAAGGGAUCUUUGAGUUCUGCUAGGGCCCUCAGCCCUUUGGUGACAGCAGGCCUUGGGGUGCUAUGGAGGCUGGAGAAAAGCCCCUGGAGACCUCCCUGGAGAACGGGAGUCACGAGUGACGGGGCAAGAGUGCGCGUGCGGGUCACUGUGGACAUAUAGUUCUGAUGCCUGGGCCUGAAUUAAGGGGUAGCCGUGAGUGAAGACUUUACACAGGCCCUAGAGCCUCCACCCUAUGGAUGCCAAACAUGGGUGAGAUGAUGGGGGCGGGGAAGACACAGCUACAUGCAGGCACCUCGUGUUCCUCAUGACAAGGACACGCGGCGGCACCACCUCCUGGCAGGUGGAAGCCAAAGAUAGGCCAUAGGGUGACACUGCACAGGUGGCUGGGUUGGGGACAGGGCAGGGCUCAACAGGGCCCGCUGGGCCUGUGUACUGAGGGCCCCACCCAGGGCUGGGCAGCCCUGCUCCUCAGUGACAACGCUGGGACGUGGACCUGGGCAGAGGUGUCAGGGAGAUGGAAGCCAAGGGCUUCUGUGCCUGCUGGCCCUCUACCUGGCACAGCACCCUGCCCGCCCUGAAGAUCUCCGAAUGGCUGGCUCCUCCUCAGCCUUCUAGCUCAGCGCAAUCAUCACCCAACCCCCCUGGCUAAAGCCAACCUCUCAGGCAGGUGCUCUUGGUCACAUCUCCCUGCUUUAUUUCUAUCACGGCCCUUGUCACCACCUAAGAUGGCUGCAUUUAUUAUCCCUACUUCUUGGAUGAGAAAAGGGGCUCUCAGAAAUUAUAACAAUCCUCUCCCCUCCCCGAAGUGGCAACCAUGGGAUGGAAAGAGGCGGGUUUACCCACCUCUAAAACCAGCACCCUUUCAUGUCCUUCAACUGAACCUCAGGAGGUCCAGGGGCAUUCAUAGAGCUCCUACUACAUACUGUAGGAUGCUGUAUACACACUGCCUUGUGUCAACCAGGAGGGACAAGAGGCAUGUGGCUAGGAGCACAGGCGGGUAUAGAUCAAGAAUUGGGAGCCUCAUCUCUUGCUAUCAUAUUGCUGUGUGAUCUUGGGCAAGUCCCUUGACCCCUCUGGGUCUCAGCAUCUUCCAAUGCACAGUGAGGGGUCAGCUGAGGUGCCUUGAGGCCCUACACCGACAGCUCUAAUGACAACUGUAAAUGCUGCCGUCACAAGAAGGCAGCCCCUCAGUCAGUAACCUUGCACCCCCUAAUUUCCUUCACCCCUAUUCCAUGCAACCUCUGAUCUGCUUCCCAUCAUUAUAGGCUGGUUUUGCCUAUUUUAGAACUUCAUAUGAAUGGAUUCCUAUAGUAUGUGCUCUUUUGGGCCUACCUUCUUUCACUCACAUAAUACUUUUAGAGUCCUCCAUGCAGCUGAUAGAUCAAUAGUUCAUCCUUUUAAUUGCUGAAUAGUAUUCCCUUGUCUGGAUGUCCCACAGUGUGUGUAUCCAUUUCGCUGUUGGAUGUCUGGGUUGUUUCUAGGCUGGGACUGUUAUGACUCACACUUCUGUGAAAACGUUUAUAUACAAGCCUGUGUGGAGACAUAUGCCCUUGUUUCCUUUGGGUCUAAAGAUGUCAACUAUUUAUUUUUUUUGUUGUUGACAUUUAUUGGGCAAGUUAGAUACCAGGGUCUAUGUCAGCAUCUUAAAUGUUUUAUCUCUUCUAAUCCCUAAACUGUACCAAGGCCAGUUCUAAACUGGUUACACAUCUUAUCUCCUUAAUCGUCCUUAGCCUUUAAUCCUUACAGAUGACAAGAAUAAGAGCAAAAGCAAUACAGGUGGUCCAGGCUUACAACGGUUCAACUUAUGAUUUUUUGACUUUAUGAUGG